CCGAGGUGAGAGCGGCGGAGGGUGAUAUGUCUGGACUGCUGAUGGGAGGGGAUACUACUGAACGGUAGCUAUACGCAUAACGUCGCAAGACAAAGAGGGGACNUUCGGGCUCUUGCCAUCAGAUGUGCCCAGAUGGAUUACUAUAGUGGGUAACGGCUCACCUAGCGACGAUCCCUACUGGUCUGAAGGAUGACCACCACACUGGAACUGAGACACGGUCCAGACUCCUACGGGAGGCAGCAGUGGGGAAUAUUGCACAAUGGGCGCAAGCCUGAUGCAGCCAUGCCGCGUGUAUGAAGAAGGCCUUCGGGUUGUAAAGUACUUUCAGCGGGGAGGAAGGUGUUGUGGUUAAUAACCACAGCAAUUGACGUUACCCGCAGAAAAGCACCGGCUAACUCCGUGCCAGCAGCCGCGGUAAUACGGAGGGUGCAAGCGUUAAUCGGAAUUACUGGGCGUAAAGCGCACGCAGGCGGUCUGUCAAGUCGGAUGUGAAAUCCCCGGGCUCAACCUGGGAACUGCAUUCGAAACUGGCAGGCUAGAGUCUUGUAAGGGGGGUAAAUUCCAGGUGUACGGGUGAAAUGCGUAAGAUCUGGAGGAAUA
rnacentral:rRNA from 1 species